rnacentral:rRNA from 1 species
UACGGAGGGUGCAAGCGUUAAUCGGAAUUACUGGGCGUAAAGGGUGCGUAGGCGGUUAAGUAAGUUAUCUGUGAAAUCCCUGGGCUUAACCUGGGUAGGAAAGAUGAUACUGCUUGACUAGAGUGUGGUAGAGGAUAGUGGAAUUUCCGGUGUAGCGGUGAAAUGCGUAGAGAUCGGAAGGAACACCAGUGGCGAAGGCGGCUAUCUGGACCAACACUGACGCUGAGGCACGAAAGCGUGGGGAGCAAACAGG